rnacentral:misc_RNA from 1 species
UUAUCAUUUAGAGGAAGGAGAAGUUGUAACAAGGUUUCCUUAGGUGAACCUGCGGAAGGAUCAUUGUCGAGGCUCGUCGAGCAGCAAGACCCGCGAACCGGUGACCCUAACUAGACGCUCGUGGCUCGGGGAGCGCGGCACUGCCCGCUCUCCGAGGGGACCAUGCGAUGAACCACCUCCGGUGCAAUGGGCACCAACGAAUUGAGAUGGAAUGAGCGCGGCUCCCUCCGGGGAUUGCGGGUGCAUGUUUGGAACUUACACCACUCUCAGCAACGGAUAUCUCGGCUCUUACAUCGAUGAAGAAUGUAGAAAAAUGCGAUACUUGGUGUGAAUUGCAGAAUCCUGUGAACCAUCGAGUCUUUGAACGCAAGUUGCUCSCAAGGCCACCCUUCCAAAGGCAUGCCUGACUGGGCGUCAUGCACCGUGCUACCCCACCUGACGCUCCCCCCAUCCGACGGUGGAGUCGCAGGGCCGAGACUGGCAGCCCGUGCACCCCGCGCACUUGGCCGGCUAAAAAGCAUUUGCUCCCCCGUUGGGGAGUGGAUGCGGCGGUAGGUAGUUUGAGAGGCGGUUGCCUCGUCGGAGCUAGGACACCGCGCUCGUCGCCUCGCGUCUAAGGGUAGAGCAAAGUGGCAUUCAACUCGGCCGCUCCGCUCGGCCCUCACGUAGCAACCCCAGGUCAAGUGGGGACACUCACUGAGUUUAAGCAUAU